rnacentral:rRNA from 1 species
AGAGUUUGAUCCUGGCUCAGGACGAACGCUGGCGGCGUGCCUAACACAUGCAAGUCGAACGAAUCUUCUUCGGAAGAUGAGUGGCGAACGGGUGAGUAAUACAUAGGUAACCUGCCCCUGUGCGGGGGAUAACAGGAGGAAACUCCUGCUAAUACCGCAUAGCCAUGAGCACCGCAUGGAGCUCAUGCCAAAUAUCCUUCAGGGGAUAGCGCAGGGAUGGACCUAUGGCGCAUUAGCUAGUUGGCGGGGCAACGGCCCACCAAGGCAACGAUGCGUAGCCGGCCUGAGAGGGCGGACGGCCACAUUGGGACUGAGACACGGCCCAGACUCCUACGGGAGGCAGCAGUAGGGAAUUUUCGGCAAUGGGGGAAACCCUGACCGAGCAACGCCGCGUGAGCGAAGAAGGCCUUCGGGUCGUAAAGCUCUGUUGUAAAGGAAGAACGUCGCAUGCAGGAAAUGGUGUGCGAGUGACGGUACUUUACCAGAAAGCCACGGCUAACUACGUGCCAGCAGCCGCGGUAAUACGUAGGUGGCGAGCGUUAUCCGGAAUCAUUGGGCGUAAAGAGGGAGCAGGCGGCCGCAAGGGUCUGUGGUGAAAGACCGAAGCUAAACUUCGGUAAGCCAUGGAAACUGGGCGGCUAGAGUGCGGAAGAGGAUCGUGGAAUUCCAUGUGUAGCGGUGAAAUGCGUAGAUAUAUGGAGGAACACCAGUGGCGAAGGCGACGGUCUGGGCCGCAACUGACGCUCAUUCCCGAAAGCGUGGGGAGCAAAUAGGAUUAGAUACCCUAGUAGUCCACGCCGUAAACGAUGGUCACUAAGUGUCGGGGGUCAAACCCCGGUGCUGCAGUCAACGCAAUAAGUGACCCGCCUGAGUAGUACGUUCGCAAGAAUGAAACUCAAAGGAAUUGACGG